CACGCCCUAAACGAUGUCAACUAGGUGUUGGGUGGGUAAAACCAUUUAGUACCGGAGCUAACGCGUGAAGUUGACCGCCUGGGGAGUACGGCCGCAAGGUUAAAACUCAAAGGAAUUGACGGGGACCCGCACAAGCGGUGGAUGAUGUGGUUUAAUUCGAUGCAACGCGAAAAACCUUACCCACCUUUGACAUGGUCGGAACCCUUUAGAGAUAGAGGGGUGCUCGAAAGAGAGCCGAUACACAGGUGC
rnacentral:rRNA from 1 species